AGAGACAGCAGUCGCCGCGGUAAUACGGAGGGUGCAAGCGUUAAUCGGAAUUACUGGGCGUAAAGCGCACGCAGGCGGUUUGUUAAGUCAGAUGUGAAAUCCCCGAGCUUAACUUGGGAACUGCAUUUGAAACUGGCAAGCUAGAGUCUUGUAGAGGGGGGUAGAAUUCCAGGUGUAGCGGUGAAAUGCGUAGAGAUCUGGAGGAAUACCGGUGGCGAAGGCGGCCCCCUGGACAAAGACUGACGCUCAGGUGCGAAAGCGUGGGGAGCAAACAGGAUUAGAUACCCCUGUAGUCCCUGUCUCUUAUAC
rnacentral:rRNA from 1 species